AGAGUUUGAUUCUGGCUCAGAACGAACGCUGGCGGCGUGGAUAAGACAUGCAAGUCGAACGCUGACUUCAGGGUAGCAAUAUUCUGAAGUUGGAGUGGCGCAAGGGUGCGUAACACGUGGGUAAUUUGCCGUGAAGUUGGGGAUAACUUGCUGAAAGGCGAGCUAAUACCGAAUGUGACGGUUUGGAGGCAUCUCCGGAUCGUUAAAGUUGGGGACCGUAAGGCCUGACGCUUCUCGAUAAGCCCGCGGCCUAUCAGCUAGUUGGUGAGGUAACGGCCCACCAAGGCUAAGACGGGUAGCAGGUCUGAGAGGACGACCAGCCACACUGGAACUGAGACACGGUCCAGACACCUACGGGAGGCAGCAGUCGAGAAUUUUUCUCAAUGGGCGAAAGCUUGAAGGAGCGACGCCGCGUGGGGGAUGAAGGGCUUCGGCCUGUAAACCCCUGUCAUUUGCGAACAAACCCACUCAUCUAACACAUGGGUGGCUGAUAGUAGUGAAAGAGGAAGGGACGGCUAACUCUGUGCCAGCAGCCGCGGUAAUACAGAGGUCCCAAGCGUUGUUCGGAUUCACUGGGCGUAAAGGGUGCGUAGGUGGCGAGAGAAGUUCGAUGUGAAAUCUCCGGGCUCAACCCGGAAACGGCAUUGAAUACUCUUUUGCUAGAGGGUCGGAGGGGAGACUGGAAUUCUCGGUGUAGCAGUGAAAUGCGUAGAUAUCGAGAGGAACACCAGUGGCGAAGGCGAGUCUCUGGACGACUCCUGACACUGAGGCACGAAAGCUAGGGGAUCAAACAGGAUUAGAUACCCUGGUAGUCCUAGCUGUAAACGGUGCACAUUUGCUGUAAGGGGAUUCGACCCCCUUUGUGGCGAAGCUAACGCGUUAAAUGUGCCGCCUGGGAAGUACGGUCGCAAGAUUAAAACUCAAAGAAAUUGACGGGGGCCUGCACAAGCGGUGGAGUAUGUGGCUUAAUUCGAUGCAACGCGAAGAACCUUACCUGGCCUUGACAUGCAAGUGGUAAAAGGAUGAAAGUUCGAUGACCCCGCAAGGGGAGCUUGCACAGGUGCUGCAUGGCUGUCGUCAGCUCGUGUCGUGAGAUGUUGGGUUAAGUCCCGCAACGAGCGCAACCCCUGUGUCCUGUUGCCACCCGAACGAGAGUUCGGAGCACUCUGGACAGACUGCCUCGCUUUAACGAGGAGGAAGGUGGGGAUGACG
rnacentral:rRNA from 1 species